CACUGAGUGUCUGAAAUGCAAGUAAAGGUCUCUUAAACCUUCAUAGUAAUAUAGCAACUACUCGCAGUGA
rnacentral:tRNA from 1 species